rnacentral:lncRNA from 1 species
UCCAUAAACUCCCUCAACUCCUCUCUCUCCCUCUCCCUCUCAUGUGUGAGAGCAGGCACUCUCCCUCUCUCUCUCGUGUAAUCCUGCGGGCGAUCUCUCCCUCCUCUCUCUCUCUCCCUCUCUCUCUUUUACAUGCGAGCGAGCGGCUCCCUCAACUCCUCUCCAUUGGUUGAUUAGAAGGUAAGAUGUUUAUCCAGCUCAAAUGAUCUUUUAUUUUGUCAUUUUUGCUUGUUAUUCUUUUUAUUUCAUCCUUUUUUUGAAGAUAUAUGGGGAAGGAGAGCAGCUGAGGG